GGAGGCUUCAGAGAUGGAGGGACCUUUGGACGGGCAAGAUCAGCCUUUGAACUUGAUAAAUGAACUUGGGACAAACCAGAUUCGGAAAGAUGAAAUGUGGUCAGAUUUGGAAAUGGGGGAUGGAUCGACCCCCUCCAUAUGGUUAUUUGGACCUUCCGAGUCUGGUGAUGGGCUAUCAGAGGAUUGGAGUAGCCGAAGUCUCCAAGCUUUGUGGAAAUUUGAAGUGGUAUUAUUUGCUGUCUGGCUUGGGCAAUGGGUUUGGGAUGGACUUGUUGCAAAGGGUCAAAAGCAUUUUCUUGCUGGAGCAUCCACGACUGGAAAGGAAUCAUCAACAAGAGUGGCGAAAGGGGCAAGAAAGAGACUUGAGGGCCUCGGAUACGAGACAACCAGGUUAAGGAGCCGGAUUACCGAGGUUAAAAGGACUGACAAUCCCGGGUCCAGGGGAGGGAGGUUGGAAGCUGACUGGACUGAAUUUGACUUAUUAUUUUUUCUUUUUACUUUUUAAUAUUGGGAAUGCUUACAAAUGUUUGAAGGAUGUUGAAUGAAAUUACAUGACUUAAGUAAGGAUUGGUAAAUGAUUCGUAAAAAGGUAAUGAUGCAAGAAUUUGGUAAAUAUUGAAUAUAAGCUAUGAGUUUUAAAGUUUUUAUAUGACAAGAGGGAAAAUAGAAUAAGGAAACGUAAUGACAGAUUGUUAUGAAAAAACAGAAAGGAUUUGCUGUAAAAAUUAAAAAUUAAGAAACAAAAGAGGGGAGGAGGAGGAAGUCUAGAAAGGAAGUCAAUAGAGAUGGUAAAGGACUUUAUAUUUUUGUUUUUCUGUUUCUCUUUUUUUUUUCUUUGCGGCUGGGUUUUCUUUUCUUUUUUGUUUAUGCACUAAUUUUGUUUUUUGUAUCCUUAAAUUUUUUUUGGAAAUUUUUGUUGUUAUUUUUUGAAAAUUCAAUAAAUAUCAACUAU